rnacentral:rRNA from 1 species
UACGUAGGGUGCGAGCGUUGUCCGGAAUUAUUGGGCGUAAAGAGCUCGUAGGCGGUUUGUUGCGUCGGCCGUGAAAACUCAGGGCUUAACUCUGAGCCUGCGGUCGAUACGGGCAGACUUGAGUUCGGUAGGGGAGACUGAAAUUCCUGGUGUAGCGGUGAAAUGCGCAGAUAUCAGGAGGAACACCGGUGGCGAAGGCGGGUCUCUGGGCCGAUACUGACGCUGAGGAGCGAAAGCGUGGGGAGCGAACAGG